UACGGAGGGGCGAGCGUUAUUCGGAAUUAUUGGGCGUAAAGGGCUCGUAGGCGGUUCGACAAGUCGGGUGUGAAACCUCCAGGCUCAACCUGGAGACGCCGCUCGAAACUGUUGUGACUAGAGUCCGGUAGAGGAGUAUGGAAUUCCUGGUGUAGCGGUGGAAUGCGCAGAUAUCAGGAGGAACACCAGUAGCGAAGGCAAUCCCCUGGGCCUGCACUGACGCUCAUGCACGAAAGCGUGGGGAGCAAACAGG
rnacentral:rRNA from 1 species